GCGCCUUUAGCUCAGUUGGUAGAGCACUGGACUUUUAAUCCAUUGGUCGCGGGUUCGAGCCCCGCAGGGCGCACCA
rnacentral:tRNA from 1 species